UGUUUCCGGCUUUUGAAGUUAUGUCUGCCGAAAACCACAUCUGGUUCACCGCCGCCUCAACAGACACACAAUGAAAUACAAAAGGCUAAUUCUGCUGUGUACGCAAUCCAUGUUUCUUUCCCCAGAGGAUUCCAGAUGGAGUGAACUCAGUAGAGGCGGUGCUUCGACGGCUGAUGAUCUUGCGGAGAGGAGAGAGGAGCAUUAGUUACGGUUUUAAGUCCCGGCUGAACUGGCAGGGGUUACAUGACCUCAGACUCAGGGCCUUGUUAAGGAUGUGCAUGCUUCUCCUUUGCCUUCCACCGUGAUUGUAAGUUUCCUGAGGCCUUCCCAGCAAUGCAGAACCGUA
rnacentral:lncRNA from 1 species